AUGGCAUGAUGGGGACAUUUUCUGAUAAGGUCCUUUAAUCUUUCCCAUGACUCAUGGAACUUCUCACCAUUUGGCUACGGGAAGCUAGUGAGAGCUCACCUU
rnacentral:snoRNA from 1 species